UUUUUUUUUUCUGUUUGUUUCUGUUCCCAUUGUGCAGCAGAAAGCCCCCUUUUCCUCUUGCCUGCAUUUGCUUUCCCCUCUUUGGAUAUGUUCCUCCUCUUCUACCUUUUCUUCCUUCCUCAUUCUUUCACUAUAAGGAAUUGUGUUUUAAAGUUUGUAUGUGUGCAUUUUGUAUCUCCCCUCGUAUUUUGGCAUUUUUAUCUAUUUGUGUGCCGUGGCAUUACUCUUGUAGCUUAUAUUUUAUACUUUUGACUGAAGGUGUUUUAGUUUUAGAAGUAAGUUAUACACUGUAACAAUGUUAACAAGGGCAGGAAUCAAACCCCGGCUUCCCUGUAUCAGGCGGGCCCCUGAAAGAGCGAGUUAAUCAGUGACUGAAUGCGUGACACAGUAGCAGGCUUCAGUAACAAGCGGCAAUUAACACCUACGGAAACCGCAGCUCAACCAAGGGAAGAAAUCAACAGGAGACAAUGGAGCAACCGGGAAUUCUCUAACCGUCACUGUUCAAGGCCUGAAAGCCCUGGUCUGAGUUAAUCAACGCCGGCGACCAACUUUUGGGGCUGAAUAUCUCCAGAUCGACUGCUCCCAGAGCCCUAUUCAUGACAGCGGUAAAUUAACCAAAAUUCAUCAACGGACUCCCAAACCUGCACGUGCCUGCGGACGACCCCUGGAGCUGACAGAUGCCACUCAGUAGCCACCAAGGGGGAAGUCCCACGAGGGUCAACGACCCCUGGAUUGGGCAAACCUGAAAACUGGGGAGUCACCAAAGUCUGUGAAGGACAGAUAA